rnacentral:rRNA from 1 species
GAUCCUGGCUCAGGAUGAACGCUGGCGGCGUGCUUAACACAUGCAAGUCGAACGGGAAUUACUUUAUUGAAACUUCGGUCGAUUUAAUUUAAUUCUAGUGGCGGACGGGUGAGUAACGCGUGGGUAACCUGCCUUAUACAGGGGGAUAACAGUCAGAAAUGGCUGCUAAUACCGCAUAAGCGCACAGAGCUGCAUGGCUCGGUGUGAAAAACUCCGGUGGUAUAAGAUGGACCCGCGUUGGAUUAGCUUG